GACGUAGGUGGCGAACGUUAUCCGGAAUUAUUGGGCGUAAAGAAUGCGUAGAUGGUGUAGUAAGUUAUCGGUGGCAAAUCGAGGCUCAACCUCGUGGAAGUCGGUAAUACUGCUAUGCUAGAGGAUAGGAGAGGUUAACGGAACUCCCUGUGGAGCGGUGAAAUGCGUAGAUAUCUGGAGGAACACCGGUGGCGAAGGCGGCAUCCUGGACCGGCACUGACGCUGAGGAGCGAAAGCCAGGGGAGCAAACAGG
rnacentral:rRNA from 1 species